UACAGAGGAGCCAAGCGUUGUCCGGAUUGACUGGGCGUAAAGCGCACGCAGGCGGUCUGGCGCGUGGGGUGUGAAAUCUGGCCGCUUAACGGCCAGGCGCCAUCCCAUACGGCUAGACUGGAGGGCUGCAGAGGUCGAUGGAAUUGCCGGUGUAGUGGUGGAAUGCGUAGAGAUCCGGAGGAACACCAGCGGCGAAGGCGGCGUCCUGGACUGGUACUGACGCUCAGGAGCGAAAGCGUGGGGAGCGAUCCGG
rnacentral:rRNA from 1 species